CAUUAUCUCAACCCAGAGAACCAACAUGAGCAAGACAAUAGCAUCUGUUUUCCUCAUCAUUUAUCAGAAAAUGUUGCACGGCUAUAACCUGAUGCUGAUGUUUCGUAUAUCACAAUAGGCAUAUCAAUCAAACGUCUGAAGCAAAGGUGUUAUAAAUCGUGUUUGUAUCCUUUGAGAAAAGGACAUCAAAAGGAAUUCGCGAUUUUCUC